rnacentral:lncRNA from 1 species
GCUGGAGCUGUCGUGGCCCUGACCAGGGCAAAUUAACCCAGAAGAGUACUUCAGAGAACACAGACAAACUGCCGUGCAGUGAAGAGAAUGUGGCAGGAAGCCCUGGUAUUCUAGAAGAAGCUCUGCCCACUCCAGACAGGAUCCGCACGCCUAGUGCCAUGUCUAUCUCCAAGGAGAUCACAUUCUAGAGCCAAGGACCGCCACUGAGAAGAAAGUAACGUGAGCCGUCAGAAUGCAUACCUGGAGCGCUCCAGGAAGGAAAUCUCAGCCCCGGCAUCCUCCAUGGUCACACGGAGAGGGCGGGUGUCCUUGUAGCUUUGGCCCUGAGAUGGGAGCUAGAGCUGGACACAGGGUUCUAGUCCUGGCUUUGCUGUAAACAGCUCCCAGACCUGGAGCAAGUGCCUUACCUGUCUGUGUAAUGUGGGAGCUGAUGUGGAUCAUCUUUAAGCCCUCUGCAAGAUGGACACGCUGGGAUCAUAAUAAGGACACAUGCCAGUCAGGCCAGGUUCUUCAUUUGAAAACCUUUAUACAUUUUUUUCUCUUCAGCCUUAAUAAAAUUAACUCACCUAGCAUUGUAUAUAUGUCAAGCAGUUUUGAUCAUCCAAAUUUUUUAUUGUUGGCUGACCUCUAGCCAACAAUUCAUUUAUUUUCUGACCUUUUAAGAUGUUUCGUAGCUGCCAUUUCAUGUAUCUGAAAAAUGAGAUGUGAAAAGAAUACACAUAUUUAAGAACAA